GAGCAUAAUGUUCAUUAAGUUGGCAGUGGUUAGGCCAAGAGAAGAUCAACCAGAAAUACCUGUAUUCUUUCCCUGGAGGAAAAAGGAUUGUCCUGGAUGGGGUGAGGGAGACACUCAUUGUUCAGUUCUGACACUCUUCUUUCUUUUUAUUCUGGUGAUGUUAAAAAAAAAGGCAGGUGAUGACAAGGAAAAUCCCCAAAUAGUCCAAGUGGUCAGCUGCUCCCCAGUGGGACCAGCUGCCUCGCACAGGGGCAUUUGCUGGAGUGUAGAAAUGGCCUUUCCAAAAGGCAGAUAACCCAACAACAAAUAUUUCCCUAAAGAAUAUUUGAUCAAGGGCCGGCCCCGUGGCGUAGUGGUU